UAGGGGCAAAGGGGCUUUAUUUUGUGUGUCCAAUUCGUGCACUGCAGCACAAUGGCCCUCAAUCGCAUUGGGGGGGUUUUCGGUUCGGUUCAAAUGCUCUAGCGCUGAAAAAAUCCAGAAGGAAAAAAAAAAAAAAAAACAAGAGUGACGGCCUCCCUCCUCCAUUAAUUAUUUGUGGGGCUGGAGUAACGCGGGCUGGUGCAACCGGUGCAUAUAAGGACUUGUGUGCAGGGAAGGGGAUCCGCCUCCAGGCGCGGAACGAAUGGGGGAGAAGCGCACUCGUACCCUGCGCUCCAGCGAUUUGCAAUGGGGGCGGGUGGGUCAGCCAGCGACCCCCGGGAUCCCGGAAGGCGGGUCUCGAGGGCCGGUCACUCGCUGGUCAAGGGCUAGGAAGGUUUACCAGAAGCGGGAAAACGGACAUCUGAGUUCCUUGUUGGCAUCGCCACACCCAGGACUUGCCCGUACCGCAAUUCCCCACGGAAACGACCGAAUUGAAACGAGAAGCUUUUUCUCUGGGUGCAAGAGCUGAAUGCUUCAGAUGGUGAUAAGUGAUAUGAAGAAAAUCAAGCAAGAUCAUGAGAAUCAGCAGGUACACAUGUCCACCCCCAGCUCUGACACAUGCUCUCCACUUGUGGGUGAGCUGCCUUGAAGUGGAUGUUCCAGCCCAAUCAAGCCUUCAGAUGACUGCAAUUCCAGCUGGCUCUGACUGCAAUUUCGUGAAGUUCCUGCUUGAACUAGGACAGUUCAAUCCAGCUGUUCCCAAAUCCCUGACCCACAGAAACCAUGAGAGAUCAUGAAUUUUACUGUUGUUUUAAGCCAUUUGAUUUGUUAUACAGUAAGGGGUAACUAAUACAUUGUCUUCAGACAGGGUUUGUGUGGACAUAAUUGCUACAGCUAUAACAGCCAUCUCCCUAGCAGGUCAGGAUGAACUUGGGAAAGAAAACAAAAGAGGAAAAGCAUCUGGAUCUUUAAUGACAUCAUUGAGCCACUCAAUUAACUAAUCCAGGGGCAACCUGUCUGAACUCCUUCUCAUGAGACAUAGGUUUUUCUCAUUUUGUUUAAGCCACCAUUAGUUGAGUAUUCUGUUAUAUUUUUUUAUCUGUUUUAUU